CUCAGCUAUAACAGUUGUUACUGCUCUAACAUGGUGUACAGGUUUUAGGGAAUGAUUAACUCAGCUAUAACAGUUGUUACUGCUCUAACAUGGUGUACAGGUUUUAGGGAAUGAUUAACUCAGCUAUAACAGUUGUUACUGCUCUAACAUGGUGUACAGGUUUUAGGGAAUGAUUAACUCAGCUAUAACAGUUGUUACUGCUCUAACAUGGUGUACAGGUUUUAGGGAAUGAUUAACUCAGCUAUAACAGUUGUUACUGCUCUAACAUGGUGUACAGGUUUUAGUGAAUGAUUAACUCAGCUAUAACAGUUGUUACUGCUCUAACAUGGUGUACAGGUUUUAGGGAAUGAUUAACUCAGCUAUAACAGUUGUUACUGCUCUAACAUGGUGUACAGGUUUUAGGGAAUGAUUAACUCAGCUAUAACAGUUGUUACUGCUCUAACAUGGUGUACAGGUUUUAGGGAAUGAUUAACUCAGCUAUAACAGUUGUUACUGCUCUAACAUGGUGUACAGGUUUUAGGGAAUGAUUAACUCAGCUAUAACAGUUGUUACUGCUCUAACAUGGUGUACAGGUUUUAGGGAAUGAUUAACUCAGCUAUAACAGUUGUUACUGCUCUAACAUGGUGUACAGGUUUUAGGGAAUGAUUAACUCAGCUAUAACAGUUGUUACUGCUCUAACAUGGUGUACAGGUUUUAGGGAAUGAUUAACUCAGCUAUAACAGUUGUUACUGCUCUAACAUGGUGUACAGGUUUUAGGGAAUGAUUAACUCAGCUAUAACAGUUGUUACUGCUCUAACAUGGUGUACAGGUUUUAGGGAAUGAUUAACUCAGCUAUAACAGUUGUUACUGCUCUAACAUGGUGUACAGGUUUUAGGGAAUGAUUAACUCAGCUAUAACAGUUGUUACUGCUCUAACAUGGUGUACACAUCACAUCCCAUAAAACAUUUUCCUACAUAAAGUUUCAGACUGCAACAACAGGAAGAAUGUUAACAGUACAUAACAUUGUAAGUAAAAGUAAGUUAAAAUAAUUACACAAAUAAAUGCAACAGAAUGGAACAUUCUAAGUAAAUUUACAUUGUCAUUGGUUUCAGUACCACAUAUCUUUACAAAUUUCUUACAUUACUUCUCUAACUGUGGCAUUUAAUAGAACAAUUCCCAUUCUAGGGUCUCAGUAGAAGUCCACAACAGCUGUCAGGAAGCCUUUCACAUUGUCAAUUGGUUCAAGGGCUUUUUUCAAAUGUCCAAUUGCUGCAUCUGCAUUUUGUUUUGUCAACUGAUCACAGGGGUUAAUGUCAACGGAUCACCUGAUAAUGUCAACUGAUCACCUGAUAAUGUCAACUGAUCACCUGAUAAUGUCAACGGAUCACCUGUUAAUGCCAACAGAUCACCUGUUAAUAUCAACUGAUAAUGUCAAUGAUCACCUGAUAAUGUCAACGGAUCGCCUGUGAAUGUCAACGGGUCACCUGAUAAUGUCAACGGAUCACCUGAUAAUGUCAACGGAUCACCUAAUAAUGUCAACGAAUCACCUGAUAAAGUCAACGGAUCACCUGAUAAUGUCAACAUAUCACCUGAUAAUGUCAACGGAUCACCUGUUAAUGUCAACGGGUCACCUGAUCAUGUCAACGGAUCACCUGAUAAUGUCAACGAAUCACCUGGUAAUGUCAAGUUCCCAAGCGGGAUCUGAGCAGUCUUGCCAUCAUCUCACAACAAGACGUCCCACAAGCUCUUUGAAUUCAUUCCUGUGUUAUUGUUUGUCUUCAGUGUUUGGCAUAAAUUCGGAUAUAGGAACUUCAAGGACUGAUCUGGAGAUCUGUUGUGGGAGGUGAUCUGCACCAACAAAUCAAAUCAAAUUGUAUUUGUCAC